rnacentral:rRNA from 1 species
UACGGGGGGGGCAAGCGUUGUUCGGAAUUACUGGGCGUAAAGGGCUCGUAGGCGGCCAACUAAGUCGGAUGUGAAAUCCCCAGGCUUAACCUGGGAACUGCAUCCGAUACUGGAUGGCUUGAAUCCGGGAGAGGGAUGCGGAAUUCCAGGUGUAGCGGUGAAAUGCGUAGAUAUCAGGAGGAACACCGAUGGCGAAGGCAGGUCUCUGGGCAUUAACUGACGCUGAGGAGCGAAAGCUGGGGAGCGAACAGG